rnacentral:rRNA from 1 species
AGAUUUAUCCUGGCUCAGGACGAACGCUGGCGGCGUGCUUAACACAUGCAAGUCGAACGGUGAUGUCCCAGCUUGCUGGGACGGAUCAGUGGCGAACGGGUGAGUAACACGUGAGCAACCUGCCCUCCACUUCGGGAUAAGCCUUGGAAACGGGGUCUAAUACCGGAUAUGAGCCUGCAUCGCAUGGUGUGGGUUGGAAAGUUUUUCGGUGGGGGAUGGGCUCGCGGCCUAUCAGCUUGUUGGUGGGGUGAUGGCCUACCAAGGCGUCGACGGGUAGCCGGCCUGAGAGGGCGACCGGCCACACUGGGACUGAGACACGGCCCAGACUCCUACGGGAGGCAGCAGUGGGGAAUAUUGCACAAUGGGCGAAAGCCUGAUGCAGCGACGCCGCGUGAGGGAUGACGGCCUUCGGGUUGUAAACCUCUUUCAGCAGGGAAGAAGCGCAAGUGACGGUCCUGCAGAAGAAGCGCCGGCUAACUCGUCCAC